UGGAAGUGAACCAUCUCAGUACCCACAGGAAGAGAAAACAACAGUGAUUCCGCUAGUAGCGGCGAGCGAACGCGGAAGAGCCCAAACCUUCGUGCUUGCACGAGGGGGUUGUAGGGCCUGCUGGGCCGCAAGGCCGGCGAGUCAACAACCAGCAGCAUAGUCGAACAGCGCUGGAACGGCUGGUCAUAGAGGGUGAGAACCCCGUAGACGAAAUGCUGCUGGCUCGCUGGGCAGGUUCCUGAGUAGCGCGGGACACGUGGAAUCCCGUGUGAAGCUGCGAGGACCAUCUCGCAAGGCUAAAUACUCUCUGGCGACCGAUAGUGAACCAGUACCGUGAGGGAAAGGUGAAAAGCACCCCUGUGAGGGGAGUGAAAUAGUACCUGAAACCGUAUGCUUACAAGCGGUGGUAGCCCAAGUUCCCUAGUGGUGACAUUAGAGAAUGGGUGACCGCGUGCCUUUUGCAUAAUGAGCCGGCUAGUU
rnacentral:rRNA from 1 species